rnacentral:rRNA from 1 species
AUGCGCCGCUACUUCUACCGCAAGGUCGUCCUCUCCGACUCCGCCGCCAUCGCCAUGCUCAUCACCGAUCUACGGUACGCGUGUGGAGGGAGGCUAGUGCCCUCGCGCCACGGCAUAACCAAGGCCGGGACCAAGUGUGCCAGGUGGCCGAGGCCGCCCUCGCGUGACAGCAUCGAGGCCGCCGUCCACCACGAGGGCAGGUUCUACUCGAUCACUUACUCCGGCGAGGUGGAGGCGUGGGAGCAGGACGCCGAUGGUACCGGCGUGUUCACCAAUCACCAGUGUGGUGGUAGCGCCAGGGCAGCCCUGGUGCGACCACCGCAAGUACCUGGUGAAGGUCCUUACGCUGGCGCCGAGCAAUGGAAGGCGGCGGGCGACAUCAGCGACGCCGCGCUGUUUGUUGGGGUGAACGGUUCACUGUGCGUGUCAAGGAAGGGAGCACCUGAGCUUAGGGCCGGCUGCGUCUACCACACCGCCGACGAUCUGUCGCUGUACUACCCCGACAACCAGCAUGGCGCCGGGGUGUUCAGCCUCAAGGACGUCAGGGAGGAGAAGGUCGAGGGCCUUGUGCCGCACCGGAACAAGCCACCAUCGGCGUGGUUCACGCUGCAUCCCAUGACAGGUUUCAUGAUUGAUUCGGAUUUGGUAGCUUGGGUGGGUUAA